UUCUUUUAGUUAAUAAGGAUUUUUUUUUUUUCUUACCUUCCAGUUAACACAAGGAAAGACAAUUCCCAGGGUAAAUAAUCCCAGCAUGGGACCCCCACACAUCCCAUGAAUGGAGAGUGCAGCCUGUGGACAUAGAGAAGAGACAUAAGCCUAAGCAACAGCUGGGGGAGCUUAAGCAAUUCCGAUCGCCAUCUGCAACUUUCAGCGGGGGAGAAAGGACAAACAGUAACUUUGACACACCAUGAAAGAAUCGCAAUCAGUAUCACUUCUCGGCAAUGAUUACAUCCAGGAGACUCAACUAUGUCCAUAAGCUCAGACAGCACUAGAGAUGGUCUCUGGACCAGGAACUGGACCCCAUAAGGUGAUACUCACAUCAAGGAGCAGAUCUUUUCAAGAGGAUGGUCAAUUGCUCUCUGGAUGGUGAUGGGAGACUCCACUGCCAAGGUCCUUGGAAGAGCAUCUUGUGGCCCGAUCAGUGGAACAUGUGCUGGCUGGUCUCACAUGCUUUGGUGCUUACGACUGUGAGUGAAGAAAAGCCUGCUUUCAAAUCCCCCUCAAACUCUGGUGUGCAUCCACUCCAAAAAGUCACCUGCAAGAUCCAGAGCCUUGGACUUGGCAGUGGAGCCUCCUGUCAGCAUCUGGUCCAAGUCAGGAGAGGAGCAGGAAUGACAAGAUCAUCAGAACUGCACCUGAGACAAGAGCCAACCCCACAGUGCCUCUGAAAGCAGAAAUUCCUGGUGCAACAAAGGUCAAGCACAUCGCAAAACUGUAUCCUGCAAAAGGAGCUUUGUGAGUGCUGGAGGACUCAGAGGACUGUGCCCAGUCACAGCUAUGGUUUGAUCCUGAAAUCUGUGAAGAAACAGAAGGUUAUCAGAGUCUGUCAGCUUAAGCAUAAGCCAUUGCUGUGGUGUUGCUGAUGGCAGUAACUACAAUGAAAAUAUCUGACCCUUCAACUCCGGUCUUGGUGCUUAAAGGUAAACGUUACUUUCAUUACCUUUCUUU